AGAUUCUGUGUCCCCCUUUCUCUUGCCCCACCCCGGCUUGUCCUCUCUCUCUUUCAAAAAUGAAUAAACAUUAAAAAAAAAAGAAGUAGAAAUUAACUUGAGAGGGGGAGAUUCUUUCACAACGUGUACAUAUAUCGAAUAAUUACAUCAUACUCCUUAAACAUCUUACAAUUUUGUUUGUCAAUUAUAUCUCAAUAAAUACUAAAAAGGAAAUAGAAUAAGGAAGAAAAAGAAGUAGAAAUUGUAAGACUGGAAAAGAAGAAACAGAAUGUCAUUAUUUCCAGAUGAUAUGAUUAUCUACAUAGAAAAGCCGAACCGAAGUAUCUACAGAUAAAUUAUUAGAAUUAAGGAAAGACUUUAACAAGUUACCUGGAUAUGAGAUCAAUAUACAAAAGCAAUUUGCAUUUCUAAAAAUCAUUAACAACCAAUGGAAAAAGUAAUUUUUAAAAAUGCCAUUUUGUAGAGGUAUUAAAAAUAUGUAGACUGCUAAGGAAUAAAUCUAACAAAAACUGGAACCCCUUUAUGGGGAAUAAUAAAACUUCAGUAAAAGGUAUGAAAUAGGACCUAAAUAAUGGGAGUUACAUACCAUGCUUCUGGAUAGAAAGACUCAAGAGGUAAAGAUGUCAAACAACCUCAAAUCAAUCUAUACGAUAAAUAUGGAUUCCAAUAUAAAUCCCAACAGAUUUUUUUUACAGGGAACUCAAUAAAAGCCUACUAAAAUCUGUAUGGAAGAAGGCAGGG